rnacentral:rRNA from 1 species
UACGUAGGGUGCAAGCGUUGUCCGGAAUUAUUGGGCGUAAAGAGCUCGUAGGCGGUUUGUCGCGUCUGCUGUGAAAACCCGAGGCUCAACCUCGGGCCUGCAGUGGGUACGGGCAAACUAGAGUGCGGUAGAGGAGAAUGGAAUUCCUGGUGUAGCGGUGAAAUGCGCAGAUAUCAGGAAGAACACCCGUGGCGAAGGCGGUUCUCUGGGACGGUACUGACGCUGAGACGCGAAAGCGUGGGGAGCGAACAGG